AUAGGUAGGAGCCUUGGAAACCGGAGCGCCAGCUUCGGUGGAGGCAUCGGUGGGAUACUACCCUGGCUGUAUUGACCUUCUAACCCGCCGCCCUUAUCGGGCGGGGAGACAGUGUCAGGUGGGCAGGUUGACUGGGGCGGUCGCCUCCUAAAAGGUAACGGAGGCGCCCAAAGGUUCCCUCAGAAUGGUUGGAAAUCAUUCGCAGAGUGUAAAGGCACAAGGGAGCUUGACUGCGAGACCUACAAGUCGAGCAGGGACGAAAGUCGGGCUUAGUGAUCCGGUGGUUCCGCAUGGAAGGGCCAUCGCUCAACGGAUA
rnacentral:rRNA from 1 species